UGCUUGCAAGAAUAAGCAGUCUGGCCUGCCCACUGAUGUUUAAAGGGCCGCGGUAUUUGAACCGUGCUAAGGUAGCAUAAUCAAUAGUCUCUUAAUUGGGGUCUAGUAUGAAUGGUCGGACAGGAAGUCAUCUGUCUCUUGUAUACAAAUUGAAUUUUACUUUUAAGUGAAAAGGCUUAGAUUUUGUGAAGGGACGAUAAGACCCUAUAAAGCUUUAUAUGUUAAUUUUAGGAUUUAAUAAUAUUAAGGUGUUUCGUUCUUGGUGAUUAACGUAUUUCGUUGGGGCGACGGGAAUAUAAAUGUAACUGUUCUUUUUAAAGAAAUAAAUAUAUUUAGAAAAUUUGAUCCUUUUUAAAGAUUAAAAGAUUAAAGUUACUUUAGGGAUAACAGCGUGAUUUUUCUUGAGAGUUCAUAUCGACAGAACUAGUUGCGACCUCGAUGUUGAAUUAAGGUGUUAUCAAGGUGCAGCAGCUUUGAUAGUGAGUUUGUUCAACUUUUAAAA
rnacentral:rRNA from 1 species